rnacentral:rRNA from 1 species
UUGAACGCUGGCGGUAUGCUUAACACAUGCAAGUCGAACGGAAACGAUACUAGCUUGCUAGUAGGCGUCGAGUGGCGGACGGGUGAGUAACGCGUAGGAAUCUGCCUGAUAGUGGGGGAUAGCCCGAAGAAAUUCGGAUUAAUACCGCAUAAUCUAUUCGUAGUAAAGUGGGGGACUUUCGAGCCUCACGCUAUCAGAUGAGCCUGCGUAAGAUUAGCUUGUUGGUAGGGUAAAAGCCUACCAAGGCGACGAUCUUUAGCUGGUCUGAGAGGAUGAUCAGCCACAUCGGGACUGAGACACGGCCCGAACUCCUACGGGAGGCAGCAGUGGGGAAUAUUGGACAAUGGGGGCAACCCUGAUCCAGCAAUACCGCGUGUGUGAAGAAGGCCUGAGGGUUGUAAAGCACUUUCAAUUGUGAAGAAAAGUUAGCGGUUAAUAACCGUUAGCCUUGACGUUAACUUUAGAAGAAGCACCGGCUAACUCCGUGCCAGCAGCCGCGGUAAUACGGAGGGUGCAAGCGUUAAUCGGAAUUACUGGGCGUAAAGCGUGCGUAGGCGGUUUAUUAAGUCAGAUGUGAAAGCCCCGGGCUUAACCUGGGAACUGCAUUUGAAACUGGUCAACUAGAGUAUGGUAGAGGAAAGUGGAAUUUCUGGUGUAGCGGUGAAAUGCGUAGAUAUCAGAAGGAACAUCAAUGGCGAAGGCAGCUUUUCUGGACCAAUACUGACGCUGAGGUACGAAAGCGUGGGUAGCAAACAGGAUUAGAUACCCUGGUAGUCCACGCCGUAAACGAUGAUAACUAGCCGUUGGGGGGAUUUACCCUUUAGUGGCGAAGCUAACGCGUUAAGUUAUCCGCCUGGGGAGUACGGCCGCAAGGUUAAAACUCAAAGGAAUUGACGGGGACCCGCACAAGCGGUGGAGCAUGUGGUUUAAUUCGAUGCAACGCGAAGAACCUUACCUGGUCUUGACAUCCUGCGAACUUUCUAGAAAUAGAUUGGUGCCUUCGGGAACGCAGUGACAGGUGCUGCAUGGCUGUCGUCAGCUCGUGUCGUGAGAUGUUGGGUUAAGUCCCGUAACGAGCGCAACCCCUAUCCUUAUUUGCCAGCACAUCAUGGUGGGAACUAUAAGGAGACUGCCGGUGAUAAACCGGAGGAAGGCGGGGACGACGUCAAGUCAUCAUGGCCCUUACGACCAGGGCUACACACGUGCUACAAUGGGAAGGACAAAGAGCCGCGAAGCCGCGAGGUGUAGCUAAUCUCAUAAACCUUUUCGUAGUCCGGAUUGGAGUCUGCAACUCGACUCCAUGAAGUCGGAAUCGCUAGUAAUCGUAGAUCAGAAUGCUACGGUGAAUACGUUCCCGGGUCUUGUACACACCGCC